rnacentral:rRNA from 2 species
GUCGAACGAACUCUGGUAUUGAUUGGUGCUUGCAUCAUGAUUUACAUUUGAGUGAGUGGCGAACUGGUGAGUAACACGUGGGAAACCUGCCCAGAAGCGGGGGAUAACACCUGGAAACAGAUGCUAAUACCGCAUAACAACUUGGACCGCAUGGUCCGAGUUUGAAAGAUGGCUUCGGCUAUCACUUUUGGAUGGUCCCGCGGCGUAUUAGCUAGAUGGUGGGGUAACGGCUCACCAUGGCAAUGAUACGUAGCCGACCUGAGAGGGUAAUCGGCCACAUUGGGACUGAGACACGGCCCAAACUCCUACGGGAGGCAGCAGUAGGGAAUCUUCCACAAUGGACGAAAGUCUGAUGGAGCAACGCCGCGUGAGUGAAGAAGGGUUUCGGCUCGUAAAACUCUGUUGUUAAAGAAGAACAUAUCUGAGAGUAACUGUUCAGGUAUUGACGGUAUUUAACCAGAAAGCCACGGCUAACUACGUGCCAGCAGCCGCGGUAAUACGUAGUGGCAAGCGUUGUCCGGAUUUAUUGGGCGUAAAGCGAGCGCAGGCGGUUUUUUAAGUCUGAUGUGAAAGCCUUCGGCUCAACCGAAGAAGUGCAUCGGAAACUGGGAAACUUGAGUGCAGAAGAGGACAGUGGAACUCCAUGUGUAGCGGUGAAAUGCGUAGAUAUAUGGAAGAACACCAGUGGCGAAGGCGGCUGUCUGGUCUGUAACUGACGCUGAGGCUCGAAAGUAUGGGUAGCAAACAGGAUUAGAUACCCUGGUAGUCCAUACCGUAAACGAUGAAUGCUAAGUGUUGGAGGGUUUCCGCCCUUCAGUGCUGCAGCUAACGCAUUAAGCAUUCCGCCUGGGGAGUACGGCCGCAAGGCUGAAACUCAAAGGAAUUGACGGGGGCCCGCACAAGCGGUGGAGCAUGUGGUUUAAUUCGAAGCUACGCGAAGAACCUUACCAGGUCUUGACAUACUAUGCAAAUCUAAGAGAUUAGACGUUCCCUUCGGGGACAUGGAUACAGGUGGUGCAUGGUUGUCGUCAGCUCGUGUCGUGAGAUGUUGGGUUAAGUCCCGCAACGAGCGCAACCCUUAUUAUCAGUUGCCAGCAUUAAGUUGGGCACUCUGGUGAGACUGCCGGUGACAAACCGGAGGAAGGUGGGGAUGACGUCAAAUCAUCAUGCCCCUUAUGACCUGGGCUACACACGUGCUACAAUGGAUGGUACAACGAGUUGCGAACUCGCGAGAGUAAGCUAAUCUCUUAAAGCCAUUCUCAGUUCGGAUUGUAGGCUGCAACUCGCCUACAUGAAGUCGGAAUCGCUAGUAAUCGCGGAUCAGCAUGCCGCGGUGAAUACGUUCCCGGGCCUUGUACACACCGCCCGUCACACCAUGAGAGUUUGUAACACCCAAAGUCGGUGGGGUAACCUUUUAGGAACCAGCCGCCUAAGGUGACAG